CAGGUGGAAUCCGAAAAGCCUUCAAUAGAGUAGGAA
ncrna:unclassified sequences DTF805b RNA